AUAAGAUGCAGAAUUAUUUUUGCAGUAUGUUCCUGAAUACAUAAUGUAAGCGUAUUGGGAACAUUUUGCAUACGUAAUUUUGUAUCAAUAUA
rnacentral:pre_miRNA from 11 species